rnacentral:rRNA from 1 species
ACGGGAGGCAGCAGUAAGGAAUAUUGGGCAAUGGGGGGAACCCUGACCCAGCCAUGCCGCGUGAGGGAAUGAGGCCCUACGGGUCGUGAACCUCUUUUGCCUGGGGAUAACCCCUCCCGCGCGACGGGGGGCUGCAGGUACCAGGCGAAUAAGCAUCGGCUAACUCCGUGCCAGCAGCCGCGGUAAUACGGAGGAUGCAAGCGUUAUCCGGAUUUAUUGGGUUUAAAGGGUGCGUAGGCUGUGCGGCAAGUCAGGGGUGAAAGCCCGUCGCCUAACGACGGAACUGCCUUUGAUACUGUCGCGCUGGAAUACGGAUGCCGUGGGAGGAAUGAGUAGUGUAGCGGUGAAAUGCAUAGAUAUUACUCAGAACACCGAUUGCGAAGGCAUCUCACGAAUCCGUCAUUGACGCUGAGGCACGAAAGCGUGGGGAUCAAACAGGAUUAGAUACCCUGGUA